CAAAGGCUUGGUCCUGACUUUCCUGUCAGCUUAAACUAAAUUUACACAUGCAAGUAUCCGCCCGCCCGUGAGAAUGCCCCACAGUUUCCCGCCCGGAAACAAGGAGCCGGUAUCAGGCUCAAUCCUCCCCCCGCCCAUGACACCUUGCUUAGCCACACCCCCAAGGGAAUUCAGCAGUGAUAAAUAUUAAGCCAUAAGUGAAAACUUGACUUAGUUAGAGUUUAAAGGGCCGGUAAAACUCGUGCCAGCCACCGCGGUUAUACGAGAGGCCCAAGUUGACAGUUACCGGCGUAAAGAGUGGUUAAGAAAAAUUUUAAACUAAAGUUGAAUACUCUCCAAACUGUUAUACGUACACGAGAACCAGAAACCCCUCAACGAAAGUGACUUUAACCUUUUUGACCCCACGAAAGCUGUGAAACAAACUGGGAUUAGAAACCCCACUAUGCCCAGCCCUAAACUUUGAUAACAAAAUACAUUCGCUAUCCGCCUGGGAACUACGAGCAUCAGCUUAAAACCCAAAGGACUUGGCGGUGCUUUAGAUCCACCUAGAGGAGCCUGUUCUAGAACCGAUACUCCCCGUUAAACCUCACCCUCUCUUGUUCAUCCCGCCUAUAUACCGCCGUCGUCAGCUUACCCUAUGAAGGCCCCAAAGUAAGCAAAAUUAGUAUAACCCAAAACGUCAGGUCGAGGUGUAGCGCAUGGCAGGGGAAGAAAUGGGCUACAUUUUCUGCCACAGAAAACACGGACAAUGAAAUGAAACAAACAUUUGAAGGAGGAUUUAGCAGUAAGCAAGAAAUAGAGUGUCUUGCUGAAACUGGCCCUGAAGCGCGCACACACCGCCCGUCACUCUCCCCAAGCCAUCAACACCUAAUAAGUAAGACCCUAUCUUAGGCAAAGGGGAGGCAAGUCGUAACAUGGUAAGUGUACCGGAAGGUGCACUUGGAUAAAC
rnacentral:ncRNA from 1 species